UGGACUUUGAACCGAUCUGUGUAGGAUAGGUGGGAGGCUAUGAAACCGGAACGCUAGUUUCGGUGGAGCCGUCCUUGAAAUACCACCCUGGUUUGUUUGAGGUUCUAACCUUGGCCCGUGAUCCGGGUCGGGGACAGUGCAUGGUAGGCAGUUUGACUGGGGCGGUCUCCUCCCAAAGCGUAACGGAGGAGUACGAAGGUACGCUAGGUACGGUCGGAAAUCGUGCUGAUAGUGCAAUGGCAUAAGCGUGCUUAACUGCGAGACCGACAAGUCGAGCAGGUGCGAAAGCAGGUCAUAGUGAUCCGGUGGUUCUGUAUGGAAGGGCCAUCGCUCAACGGAUAAAAGGUACUCUGGGGAUAACAGGCUGAUACCGCCCAAGAGUUCAUAUCGACGGCGGUGUUUGGCACCUCGAUGUCGGCUCAUCUCAUCCUGGGGCUGUAGCCGGUCCCAAGGGUAUGGCUGUUCGCCAUUUAAAGAGGUACGUGAGCUGGGUUUAAAACGUCGUGAGACAGUUUGGUCCCUAUCUGCCGUGGGCGUUGGAUAUUUGAAGGGGGCUGCUCCUAGUACGAGAGGACCGGAGUGGACGAACCUCUGGUGUACCGGUUGUCACGCCAGUGGCAUCGCCGGGUAGCUAUGUUCGGAAGAGAUAACCGCUGAAAGCAUCUAAGCGGGAAACUCGCCUUAAGAUGAGAUAUCCCUGGGGACUAGAUCCCCUUGAAGGGUCGUUCGAGACCAGGACGUUGAUAGGUCGGGUGUGUAAGCGCAGUAAUGCGUUCAGCUAACCGAUACUAAUUGCCCGUAAGGCUUGAUCCUAUAACA
rnacentral:rRNA from 1 species